rnacentral:rRNA from 1 species
GACGAACGCUGGCGGCGUGCUUAACACAUGCAAGUCGAACGAUGAAGCCUAGCUUGCUAGGUGGAUUAGUGGCGAACGGGUGAGUAAUACGUGAGUAACCUACCUUUAACUCUGGGAUAAGCCCGGGAAACUGGGUCUAAUACCGGAUACGACCAAUCUCCGCAUGGGGUGUUGGUGGAAAGCGUUAUGUAGUGGUUAUAGAUGGGCUCACGGCCUAUCAGCUUGUUGGUGAGGUAACGGCUCACCAAGGCGACGACGGGUAGCCGGCCUGAGAGGGUGACCGGCCACACUGGGACUGAGACACGGCCCAGACUCCUACGGGAGGCAGCAGUGGGGAAUAUUGCACAAUGGGCGCAAGCCUGAUGCAGCGACGCCGCGUGAGGGAUGACGGCCUUCGGGUUGUAAACCUCUGUUAGCAGGGAAGAAGAGAGAUUGACGGUACCUGCAGAGAAAGCGCAGGAUAACUACGU